rnacentral:lncRNA from 1 species
AGAAGAAACCUGCACUGGGACCAGGCACAGUUAGCAAGCAACCCACAAGCUGCGUGAAAAGAAAGCGUCCAGUGAGCCAGCAGACAGCAGUGACUCCGUUAGUGCUGGUGGAAGUCGUCCUGCACAGUAGCCCGCCUCUUCUGGUCUCCCUCACAACAGCCGGGAAGGUUUUCAAAGGUUCUCCCCCUCCUCUUCCGAUCUCCACCACAUUCUGCAGGCAGCAGAGCAAAGCGGCCUCUUGGGGCUCCUGUUUCAAACCCUGACCCUGACAGGAUUCAUGGCGGAGGCCAAGUGUUCAGGAGAAGUGGGGUGAACAGCAACUUCCUCGGCCGGGACAGAAAGUGCCGUAGUGCGGAAAGAUGUGGUAGCAGCACACACAUCUGUGGGUAGAGAGCGCGCAGGGCUGGGCCCUGGCCAGGUGGCGAGCGCAGCAGACAGGUCGUGGGUUCGGCCGGACUUUGUCUUGGCCCGGGGCCCUGCAGCCCCAAGUGGGAAGCCCUGUGUGGUUCUGGUUGCUGCUGACCUUGGACAGUGUCCACAGGGCCCUGGGACUCCUGGGAUCGGAGCUGCCCCCGCGUGGAGCACCCUGGGGACACAAGGACACUCUGCCCCACCCGGGAACCUCGCAGCCACCGCCAGGAGAAUGGGGAGAGCUGGGCCUGUGCACCUGACAGCGCAAGAGGCCCUGGCGCCUGGCACCCGUUUUCACUGCUGCUAAGCCUGAGAUGGAGUGGAUGGUGAGGCUGGCUCCUGCGGCGCUCUGAUGGCACAGCAGCUGCCUGGGCAACCGAGGGUCUGAUUGGUGCUCUGCAGGAAGCCUAUGGUUAUCAAACAGCUGACUUCUUAAAUAUCAAGCUCUACUUCCAGAAGGACCAGCCAUUCAAAUUAAGACAUAUUCCUCCUUAAUCCCUGCCACCUUUCUAUCAGAAAAGGAGGAAACUGAGGCUGAAAGAUGUGACUGCAAACAGGUGAUUCUCUGUACUCGUGAAGCCGGAGAAGACUCGUUAGAAACACCCCUUACUAAAAAUAAAAUAAAAUAAAAAGAAACACCCC